UACGUAGGGUGCGAGCGUUAAUCGGAAUUACUGGGCGUAAAGCGUGCGCAGGCGGCUUUGCAAGACAGAUGUGAAAUCCCCGGGCUUAACCUGGGAACUGCAUUUGUGACUGCAUGGCUAGAGUACGGUAGAGGGGGAUGGAAUUCCGCGUGUAGCAGUGAAAUGCGUAGAUAUGCGGAGGAACACCGAUGGCGAAGGCAGCCCCCUGGGCUGACACUGACGCUCAGGCACGAAAGCGUGGGGAGCAAACAGG
rnacentral:rRNA from 1 species